rnacentral:rRNA from 1 species
AUUGAACGCUGGCGGCAUGCCUUACACAUGCAAGUCGAACGGUAACAGGUCUCCGGAUGCUGACGAGUGGCGAACGGGUGAGUAAUACAUCGGAACGUGCCUAGUAGUGGGGGAUAACUACUCGAAAGAGUGGCUAAUACCGCAUGAGAUCUACGGAUGAAAGCAGGGGAUCGCAAGACCUUGUGCUACUAGAGCGGCCGAUGGCAGAUUAGGUAGUUGGUGGGAUAAAAGCUUACCAAGCCGACGAUCUGUAGCUGGUCUGAGAGGACGAUCAGCCAGACUGGGACUGAGACACGGCCCAGACUCCUACGGGAGGCAGCAGUGGGGAAUUUUGGACAAUGGGCGCAAGCCUGAUCCAGCAAUGCCGCGUGCAGGAUGAAGGCCUUCGGGUUGUAAACUGCUUUUGUACGGAACGAAAAGCCCCGGGUUAAUACCCUGGGGUCAUGACGGUACCGUAAGAAUAAGCACCGGCUAACUACGUGCCAGCCGCCGCCGUAA